rnacentral:rRNA from 1 species
AUAUCAGUCAUGCAUAGCAUAUCAAUAAGCGGAGGAAAAGAAACUAACAAGGAUUCCCUUAGUAACGGCGAGUGAAGCGGGAAGAGCUCAAAUUUGAAAUCUUCAAGGUUUUACCUUGACGAAUUGUAGUUUAAAGAAGUGUUUUCUGUUGAAGUUUUGGUAAAAGUUCUUUGGAAUAGGACAUCAUAGAGGGUGAGAAUCCCGUAUUUGACCAUUACUUUCAGCUUUGUGAUACACUUUCAAAGAGUCGGAUUGUUUGGGAAUGCAGUCCAAAAUGGGUGGUAAAUUUCAUCUAAAGCUAAAUAUUGGCGAGAGACCGAUAGCGAACAAGUACCGUGAGGGAAAGAUGAAAAGAACUUUGAAAAGAGAGUUAAACAGUACGUGAAAUUGUCAAAAGGGAAGCGUUUGACACCAGUGUUGUUUUCUCGAAAAUCAAUUAAAAAGAGUUGGAUUUUGUGUUGUAUUGACUUUAUCAGCUUUCUUCACUCUUUUCCAGCUUUUUUUAAUGCACUUUUCGUUUAACAAGUCAACAUCAGUUUCUUUUGUUGUAAAAAGGUCAUUGGAAGGUGGCUUUCUCUUCGGAGAAAGUGUUUAUAGCCUUUGACUCAUGCAAUCGGAGAGACUGAGGUCUGCAGCGUAGAUCCUUCGGGGUUAGAUACAUUUGUGCUAAGUUAUAGCUUUUCAUAGACAACUUGUUGACUAUGUUUAGUCUUGUAGCUUACUCGCUUAUGCUAUUUUACCUACGCUUAGGAUGUUGAACUCUAUCACCACAG